GUAUUAAUUGCGUGUUAUCGCAAGAGACAUUCUACACUGUAUCGAGUUUGUGUGAAAACGCAAGCCCCCCCUCUGGACGAGCCAGAGAGGGACCCACGCGGUGGUGCACAAAGGGUGAGAUGGAUUGUGUGAGAGCACUUGGGCGUGCACGACCGAAAAGGUCAGCGACAGCCCUCGCACCUCGGUUUUACAAUAAUGAUCCUUCCGCAGGUUCACCUACGGAAA
rnacentral:misc_RNA from 1 species